rnacentral:rRNA from 1 species
AUGAACGCUAGCGGCAGGCUUAACACAUGCAAGUCGAGGGGCAGCAUGUCCAGCAAUGGAUGAUGGCGACCGGCGGAAGGGUGCGUAACGCGUGAGCAACAUGCCCUAUACAGGGAGAUACACCAGGGAAACUUGGUCUAAUAUCCCAUAGCAUUCAUUGAAGGCAUCUUUAAUGAAUUAAAGCUUCGGUGGUAUAGGAUUGGCUCGCGUGACAUUAGCCAGAUGGUGAGGUAACGGCUCACCAUAGCAAUGAUGUCUAGGGGUUUUGAGAGGAAGGCCCCCCACACUGGGACUGAGACACGGCCCAGACUCCUACGGGAGGCAGCAGUGAGGAAUAUUGGACAAUGGAUGGAAAUCUGAUCCAGCCAUGCCGCGUGCAGGAAGACGGCCUUAUGGGUUGUAAACUGCUUUUAUACGGGAGCAAUAAGGGUUACGAGUAAUCCGAUGAGAGUACUGUAUGAAUAAGGAUCGGCUAACUCCGUGCCAGCAGCCGCGGUAAUACGGAGGAUCCGAGCGUUAUCCGGAAUUAUUGGGUUUAAAGGGUGCGUAGGCGGCCAUUUAAGUCAGCGGUGAAAUUUUGCAGCUUAACUGUAACAGUGCCGUUGAUACUGUUUGGCUAGGAUUUGGUUGUAGUGUGCGGAAUGUGUGGUGUAGCGGUGAAAUGCUUAGAUAUCACACAGAACACCGAUUGCGAAGGCAGCACACUAAGUCAUUAUUGACGCUGAGGCACGAAAGUGUGGGGAUCAAACAGGAUUAGAUACCCUGGUAGUCCACACUGUAAACGAUGAUAACUCGCUGUCGGCGAUACACAGUCGGGGCCAAGCGAAAGC